UGGCAGGCGUGGAUAGGCAUGCAAGUCGAGCGAGAAACCCGCUUUUGAUCUUUCGAGUGAAAAAGCGGGCGGACAGCGGCGAAAGGGAGAGUAACGAGUAGAUUACGUACCCGAGGGUUCAGGAUAGCGGGGGGAAACCGCCGGUAAUACUGGAUAACGUCUCCGGACCAAAGAUUUAUCGCCCUCGGAGCGGUUUGCUUACUAUUAGUUUGUUGGUGGGGUAAAGGCCUACCAAGGCUAAGAUGGUUAGCGGGUGUGAGAGCAUGGCCCGUCUCACUGGGACUGAGACACUGCCCAGACACCUACGGGUGGCUGCAGUCGAGAAUCUUCCGCAAUGGACGAAAGUCUGACGGAGCGACGCCGCGUGCGGGAUGAAGGCCUUCGGGUUGUAAACCGCUGUCAGAGGGGAGGAAAUUUUGACCGAUCCUCAGAGGAAGCACAGGCUAAGUUCGUGCCAGCAGCCGCGGUAAUACGAACUGUGCGAACGUCAUUCGGAAUCACUGGGCUUAAAGGGUGCGUAGGCGGCUGCAAGGGUCAGGUGUGAAAUCCCACGGCUCAACCGUGGAACUGCGUUUGAAACCGUGCAGCUUGAGGGAGUCAGAGGUAAGCGGAACUGAUGGUGGAGCGGUGAAAUGCGUUGAUAUCAUCAGGAACACCGGUGGCGAAAGCGGCUUACUGGGACUCUUCUGACGCUGAGGCACGAAAGCCAGGGGAGCGAACGGGAUUAGAUACCCCGGUAGUCCUGGCUGUAAACGAUCAGUACUAGUCCGUGGGGGCUUCCACACCCUCUCGGACGUAGCGAAAGUGCCAAGUACUGCGCCUGGGGAGUAUGGUCGC
rnacentral:rRNA from 1 species